rnacentral:misc_RNA from 1 species
UUAACUUAUUAUAAUCUUACUCAGACAACACAAAAAUCAGGAGUUUAGGGUUCUCUGGCAGGCGCGGACCAGCCUAAGCCGAUGGUCAAGAGACGGGCCUGCCAAAGCAACAAAGGUAAUAUAAACAAAGGGUAGGAGAUUUACCCCGAAGGGCAUUUUCUCUGUAAUGAUCCUUCCGCAGGUUCACCUACGGAACACUAUAGUCUACAACCCUUUCAGAGGUAGGCCGGUCAUAUCUGAAUCCAAGGCAGGUUACCCUCCUCGGACCACCUUUGUUUGAUCUGUGGACUGCUAUACGCAGCUGCAUGUUACCCUGACAGUAUCCAAGCACAGUAAAGAUGUUGCCCACGUUGGUAGACUUGUUAUUCAAGGCUUCUGCAGGUGUUGUUCUGGGAGAAA